CCAUGGCCCCAUAAAAGUAGAGAAACUCUAUUAAGCAGAUUGGAAGUACUUGACACAAUUAUAUAUUCUGAAAUGAAAAGGCAGGCUCGCUGACCCUGGCUCAGUGGAGACUUAGGGACCACAAAUUUGAUCAGAAGCUCUCAGCUACUGCUCUUGAACUGUGCCUGCCUGCGUACCCUACCACCAUAUUCUUGACCAUGCUGGUCAUGGAGUCUCCCACUAAAGCUGUAAGCAAGCCUCCAGCUGCAGACAAAGUGAGAAGCCAGCCCAAGAAGAAAAGCUGGGAGGAUAGAGGC